rnacentral:antisense_RNA from 1 species
AAUCUUACUUAUCACACCUUUAAGCGGUACUAAAUUGUGAUUAAUAUAACUAAGCCCUACAAAAUUAUUAUCAACAACAAAGUCAAAAUUUAGGUUAUUAGACUCUCUUGAACUAGCAAGUUUAUCUUGAUCAGAUGUACUUAAAUACUGACCACCAACAACCCCAUUUAAAACUUUAACAAUACUUCCUUGCUCAUUUCUCAUUAAGAAAUAAGUUCCUGAACCAACUGUACUUGGAACUGAGUCUAGCAAACUAGCUGUAAGUGUGUUAGGCACUGGACUAAUCUUGGUGUUAUUUCUAAUCCUAAAAGGAUUAACAAAUAAUGUCCUAGAAAGAUCUGAACCAGAAUCUUUUUUAAGUGCAGUAUAGUUCAAAGCAUUCUCUCGGUCAAACAUAAGAUCAACACCAAAGAUCGGAACUAUCGUAUUUAAAUAGUUUUUUAAUGGACUGUAUUCCAUCAUAUUGUUCAGUUCUACAUCGUACAUUGGACGAUCUUCACUAAACAUGACAUAUCUGAUAAUAGCAAGAUCACUAUCAGGGCUUUCGUAAUAUAUUUUACUCUUUACAUUGUUAAAUGUAGUAGUUUUAUAAUCGGUUUGUUUUUCCCCGUUUACAAGAUAGUGAUUAUAUGUAAAACCAAUCCGAUGAGGAUAAUAAUCUAACACUUUAUUGAUAUUUUUACUUAGUGCUUGAGAAACACUUUUAGUAGUUAAAACGUACAACAAAUAGUAAUUUUGUUCAAGAUUAUCUAAGGUUGUGUAACGUAACAUCCCUAGUACACUACCAAAACCAAACUUAUCAAUAUUAACAGUUAGUUCAUCAGUUUUUAAUACCAAAUUGGUAUUAAAUAAGUAAGGUAACUCAUGAUUAGUAUUAAAGAUAUUUGAUCACGAGUUAAUCAUAUCAACUUCGGCGUUUAUUCGUUCUUGGUUUUGAUUAGUCUUAGUUUUGAUGUAAUCGCUUAAUUCAGAAGAAGGAAUAUUUUGCUUGUAGUCAUAUUGGUGCAAAGAGUUGAAAAUUUUGCUUUCAAAAUUAUUAGUUGGUUUUAAUUCGCUAAAUGGUUUAUCAUUAUCAUUUGG